ACUAUUACUACUACUACUACUGCUUACUACUACCGAUUAUUUAUUUAUUUAUUUAAUUAUUAUAUAACAUAACAGAAAUUAUGUUUUAUUUAAGGAUUAAACUGAUUUGUGUUUGGUUCAAAUACGUCGUUUGUUUUAUUUCGAUUACUUGUUUCAGUUGCCACCAGCCUCCCAAACAACCAUGGUUUACAUCUACAUUCUCUAUCCAUCCUGAUAAAAAAAAUAUAAUAUAUAUCUUCUUCUGCUUCCUGACAUUCCUCGUUGCUCACAGAGACUGAUGUAAUCGAUGCGUAGCACGCGCGAGCGCAGCGUACACCGACGUUUCGCUGGAUAUUUACUGCACGCUCGUCGAUCGUGGUUCGUAACAUUUCUAUAAUUAUCUUUGUUCCAUCGUGGGCGACCCCGUGGAACCGACAAGAAAUUCGUGUCCAUCGAGAAGUUUAACCGUCUGCGCACGUAAGGAGAGGAGAGUCGUUCGGGCGCGUGAACCGACACACGAGUCUCUGCUUCUUUCCCACUGAUAGUCUGUGAUCUCAAAGGCAAUGUUCGCGUGUCGAUCGACGCGUCGAAAAGAUUGAUCUCAAACCUAUCGAUAGUCGCUGUACAAUUACAAUGCACGAACAUCGGACGUUUAGUCAACGAUAUUGAAUCGUAUAAGAAUGUUGCGUUAAGUAUCGAAAGGUGAAGGUCGAUCGGAAGGUUCCAAAGGCGCCCACGAUCGUAGAAAAUUAAUGGAAACGGUUCGUGAUACUUGAGAAAACGAUAGAACUCAUUGUUAAAAGUACAAAUGCCACGAGGCGGUCGCGCAAGUAGCUUUAAUACUCUCGUGCGCAUUUCGGUUAUAUAUACUGCCCAAUGUUGCGCCAAUAAAACAGUAAAACUAUACGAUAGAGACUUGUUGGAGUGUGAAAACCAAUCAUUGAUAACGAUAGGCGAGGACGUAGUCCCUCGGUGAACUUGAGACCGUGUCGAAGGACGGAAACUGGUGCCAAGGGGAAAGGGAAUGAAGCGCGUUCACGUCAUCAGUUGCCUACGUAAAUAAGGAUAUUAUCGAGAGAAAAUGAUAUUGUCACGAUGAUGAUGGAACGAUGACCUGGUGAGGACGAGAUUAAAAAACAAGGCUGUUUCGCUCUCUUUCCUCUUUAACGAGUGCAAUAACGGUCGGAGCUGCUCAAUUUAGCGCACAGUAUAUUAGAAGAGGUUGUCGAUGCUACACAGACUCGAAAGGGUCGAAGAGACGCACAACGCGACGAGGAUACUCGUCGGGACGACGGAUGAUAGCGCAGGCCCUGUCCCGUUCUUUCCAAUGUAGAGAAAGCCAUGGAAAAGGCUAGGGGAAAACGUGGAAAGAUCGAUCGAGGCAAGAACGCGAAGACAAAGAGGGAACUACGGAGUAAGAAGAAAAGAAAGGGAAUGAUGAGAGAGAGGGAGAGAGAGAGAGAAAGAGAGAGAGUGAGAGAGAGACGUGAAAGACAGCGAGAGUGGGGGGGGGGGGGACACGCUAAUCUACUUAACUAUAAAAUUAUAUUACCAUACGAUUAUUACGUUAGAUAUACAUUAUAUAUAUUGUAUUUAUGUCUCAAUAAUCGUUGUUAGUUAUAUCGCUAUCGAUGAUGACGAUGAUAAUGAGUGUUUUGUUAUCGGUGAUUAAUAGAAAAGAGAGGGAAUACGGAGUCAGCAGACAUAUACACAUACAUACACGUACACAGGGAACACAAUAGGGCACACAUUUACGCGAUAAUGGCACCAUGUGUCUAUUCUCGAUGAUAAGAUGGAUAUUUGAGACGGGAGGAUGAUCGAAUCGCUUUCGAACUGAUUCCGAACGCUUUGAGGAUCUCUCGCGAAGAACGCGAAUCCUCCACAAGAGGAUGCCGCAUAGCAGUUGGAAAUUGAAUUUUUAUUCGACGCACGACAAUUGGAAUAUCGACAAAUUUGCGAUCACGUUGUAAACAAAAAUUUAUAUCGCCUGUAACUCUCCUAUGACCUGUAUAAAUUUUUAAUAAACUCAUUUAAUACAAAGCGUUUUGAAAUCGGUCCGAACGUGACGUGAAAGUUUCGUCACAUUCCGCGGCUUUUAGAUAAUUUCACCGACGGACGAACGACGUUACCUUUAUUAGGACAUUUGCAUUUAGUGGUUAGCCGCAUUAGCCAUAUUAUUACCCGUAAAAGUCAACCAUUUAUACUUCUCUUGUACCUUUUAACCAAUGAAAAAGUAAAAAAAGUAAAAAAGGUGUUUCUACGAAGGUGUCGAAGGAGUGGUUUAUCGAUUCGUUCUCCGGAUCUUUACGAAUUGACAAAUUCAGCCAACUUCUUCUAUCCGAACAGCUUACGUUCCUUAUUAGUUAGUAAUUUUCUUAGUUAGUGAAUUCUCUGCAGCUUUCUUGGCGUAAUUUGUCAUCUUCGAGAACAGGUCUCCUGCCUCGUACAGCAUUACGUGUAUAUCGCGAACAAACAUCCCUUAGUGGCGCAAAGAAUGUGCAAAUAGGCAACAUUUCCAAUAUCGCCAAUAUGUAUAAACCGAUCGGAUUUCCAAAGAAUCCAUCGACUAUAUCGAUUAUUCAUUGACGUUAAUUAAAUGAUUAGAACUAAACAGCUACGGUUCUGGCAGAAUGUGAAUGACGAUCGAUGAACGAAGUCUCCGGUCAAGGGACUGUUCCAUCUUCGUAAUAGUGAAUACGCAUUUCUUCAAGAGAUCCAACCGGUGAAUAAUUUAGAAAACAUCAUGAUCGAUUCGAAUCGAAAGAGGUUUACCUAUUCUUCAUCGGAAACGGUCUCGCGAAAUGAAAUACGUCGCUGUCAGUUUGAACAACGCACAAUGCUGUCUCUAUUCGACAGCUUGUCGAUCGUUUUAUAAAGGCGAGUCGAUCGUCGAUUCACUGUCGGUUCCAGUGUCGAUCCAGGGGAUCGUUGUCCCUCGUAAUCGUCGUCCUGUUCUCUCGUCGUCGAUGCUCGUCGUGAUUCGCAUUCAUCGUCGCCGGAAAGGCGCUUCAUCGUCACGUUAGACGCAUUCGAGAUGCUCGAUAGUGGUUGUCGCGCUCGACGAUCCUCGUGAUCGUUCGUUCGAUAUUCGAUUGAGUCUAUUCAAUGUCGAUCCGUGUUUAUCGCGCGGCAACGUCGAGUCGACGAUUCGCUGUUUCGUCCUUCGCGUCUCGCUGUCGUGUACGGCUCGCGCGCAGGUCUAGAGUGGAACGACAACGAGCAGUUUUAACCGAAUGAGAACGAAAGAUCUCGAGUUGUUUAAAGGCAAAGCAAAGAGGUAUAUGUAAAAUACACAAGAAAUACUUACCGAAUCGAAAGUGAAAUUUUGCUCCUCGAAUAGACAAAUUUUUUGAGAGAAAGGGCCAAUAUCGACGGUAGGGAAUUUACAUUUCGAUCGGUAGAGUGAAAGGUGAUUCCUAAUCGAUCGCGAGUGGAUCGAGGUGGAUUUAUCUAUCGUUUAGACAUACACGUGGUUUUAGCCAGACGGCGAUCGAUGAUAUUUAAAACGACAUUCCGUGACUGCGUUGCUCCUCUUCGAACGAAACAAACUAGAGGGAUCGUCGGUGUACGGGGCGCGCGAUCAAACAGCAAAAGCAACCUAAGAGCAAAGUAAGAAACUACGAAACAAAAAGAAAACAAAGGGUAAACAAUCCUCUUCCAAUUUGUACCGAAGCGACUAAAUACCGCAGAGACUGAGAUUUUAGGCGAAGUUAAUUAGCUCCGAAUGAUCGUGGCUGCGAUCGAUGAUACUCUCCUGAAACUUCCAGGGAAACUAGAGACUCCCGACAACACAGCAAAAAAUAAAGAGAGGAUAACGCAUAAGCAAAAAAGUGGUUUUUCUCGUGGACUUAGGAGAAGAACAAGAGCGUUAGAACUAGCUGUUUAGAGAUUACGUAUAUCGUGAACCCCCAGCGAUUAGGAUAAUCGAUCGAGCCUCCGUGAUCACCGAGCUCUCGUUCGUUGUCCAUUUGCGGCUAGAGUUUCGACAACUCGAAACGGCAACGAACGUUUUCGGAUCCAGUGAUGUAAAUCUUCGUAGAGUCGUUCGAGACCGACGAACGACGCGAAUAUAAGCGGAACGUGGAGCUCGAUGGCGCGAGGCUCGAUGAGACCGGAACGAGAAUAGGCUCCCGACUUUUUGAAUCGUUUUUUCUUUUCUAGGAAAAGCAACAAAUGACAAUUCGCGAAUUUUCGAACGAACUUUUUUCCAGCGGACUGACGUGACGUUGGGGUGGCGGAAGGGGUGAACGAAAUCGAGGAAAAUCCAGAGACAAAAGGUUGACAAACACCGCGCGUUUUACUUGCACAGCAGCAAUUGGAAAAUAGACGACGGAUUCAUUUUUCGUCUCGGUCCCCCUGCCGUCGCUCGACGAAGCAACUUUUUUCUCGUUUAAAAACCACCGUGCCGGGCCUUCGAGCUUCGAUCGUCUUGUCAGUUUCGCAGCUUACUCGCUCAGCGUCUAGUACACCUGCCUUGGAGUCGUAAAACCAUUACCGCUACCCUUUGCCCACCUCAGUUUCCUUUGUGUUCCUCUUGUCCUCGUUAUCGAGUCGACUGGAGCGACGCUCGUCUCGUCAGGCUACUACCCUUUUCUCUUUCUCGUCCCUUUGUCGACGAUUUCGACCUCUCGGUCGUCCUUCUUUCUUUCAUCCCUGUUCAUUCCGCUUCGAUCGUUGCCGCGAGUUCGCAGACCGAGGCGUUUCUUUGAUCACGAAAGACGGUGUACUCGACCCUGGAGCGAGCACAAAACCAAAGAAAAAAAUGAUAUAUAUAUGUGUGUGAGUGUGAGAGAGAGAGAGGGAAUGUAAGAAUGAGCGAGCGUGCGCGUGAGAGAAGGAAAAAAGGGAAUGAAAGGGUGAAAGAGCGUGGAGAGGCGUCGUAUAUCGCUGGAGGAUGAAAUUAUUUUUACGCGUUCUCAAGCACGUCGUCCGACCGGAUGCGUUGCCGGAACGUCGAAAGUCGGCGCGGUUACAGGGGGAAGGGGGGGGGGGCAGAUUGAAAAACGAAGGGAGAAAAAUUGUCGCGACAACAAAAAAGCAGCUCUAGCUCACAGUAGGCCUAACUAACAAACAAAGCGAACAAAGAAACAAAGAAAAUGAAGAUGAAAAGUAUUUAUAUACUUAAGCUAACUAAUUAAAAAAAAAAAAUAUAAAAAAAACGGUCGAGAAAGGGAGAGGGUGAGGUCGGCGAGAGAAAGAGAAUCAGCGAAUUAGAAGGGGAACGAAAGAGACUGAUGAUUGCGUGCGAGAGAAUUAGAGAGAGAGAGAGAGUGUGUGUGUGUGUGUGCGUGUAAGAAUAAUUAGAGAGGAAGAUUAAGGAGAAACAGGUAGAAAAUAGGAAAAAAGUAAAGAAAUAAAAGUCCUCGAGAUUUACUCCGAGGCGAGUCACUCGCGGAUCAAGAGAAAAGUCGAUAACUACUCUUUAACAAAAGAAGAAAAAUGUUACAAAAGAAAAAAAAAGAUGAGAAGAGAGAAGUAGGAGGAAAAAAGUUGGGGGGGAGGGGUAAAUACAAAGGUGGCUAGAAAAAAAUGACGAUAAAGGGAAAACGGCUAACGGAAGAGGAGGAGCGAGAUGGAUCAGUGGGGGAAGAAAGAGAUAAUCUAUAAUCUUCUGUACAUGUUUUGAUUAUUCUAAUUAUUAAUUAUCGUAACUUAUAAUAACUAUUAAUUAAUUAAAUUAAUUGAUAUCUAUGGAACUGUAUUUAAACGACAAAAAAACGUGGUAGCUAGUUUGUCAAUGGGUGUAUAAAUAUUUAAUUACGAUAACUCUAUAGUGAUACUAAAAAUGAAACAACAACAAAACAGAAACCACAAAACAGCAGACAAACAGAAUACAAAGAUAAUGUGCGCGUGCAAGGGACAAGAGAUCGUGCCAGAUUGAAUGGGAUUUACGAAUGGCAAUGAGAAAAUGAGAUAGAAUGAACGCGACGAAAGAAUCUGUGACUAAAUACGCGAUUUAAGAGAACACACACGUACAUACACAAACACGUAAGCAUCCAGAUGAUAUACAGUAUAUGUAAUUAAUUCCACUUUAAACGAGGAAGGAAAAAGCGAAGCGAGAUGAAAAAGCAAAAUAGAUUUAAAAAAAAAAAAAAAGGAAAGAAUAAGAGAAAAGGAGAAGAAACAAAGAAAGGGUUAAAAACCGAGCGCGGAUAUUAUUCAUUAAGGGCGAUCUGAUUGGUCGGACUGGUCUCGAGCGGAUCAGCGACAAAUGUGUUAAAAAAGAAAUAAGAAUGAAAAAAGAAACGAACUGUUGCAACGGGUGCCCCGGAAACUUUGGUUCUGCACAUUUUCCGGACACGCAAAGAGCAAAGUGAGUUUCACGGUGCUUCGUGGGGGUUUCUUCCGUUUCAUUUCCGUUUUAUCUCCUUGCACACUUUCUUCUUCUUCUAGUGGUCGACGCGUAAACGAAAUGCUCUCCUAAAAGCAACCGCCGCUUUUCGCAUUUCUGUUAACAAAAUAGGAAAGAUUCGCACGAUAUAUAUGAUACAUACGUGUAGAUACAAGAUGGAUCAUACAAUGGUGUUUUCUAGGUACAUUCGAUCCUUUGUAUUCCGUGAACGGAUUCGAACCGAUUUUUCAGAAGGUUCACCGUGACGCAGCAAAUGAGUUUGCUCGUGUUCUUCCGUUUCUUUUUCUUCGUGUUCGAGCUUGUUCUCUCGAAGACGACUUCUCAAAAAAAAAAAAAAGAAAAAAGAAAAAAAAGAGAAAGAAAAGAGGGGAAGAAAGAAGAAGAAGGACAAAAGAAAGGAAAGAAACCAAAUACACGUGAUUCGAGAAGCGAAUCGAGUCCUUCUCAUCGUUCAUGGAUUUUCUUGAUAGGAUAGCGAUAUUUUUUUUAAAAAAUCCUUCGAUGAAUCGUUUCUGUCACAUUAUAACGAUUAGGCGUUAGAUCGUCGAAACGGGAAAGAAAAUGGACGAGAACAAGUAAGAUAUUAAAAUAGCGGAGAGAAAGAAGAAAGUAUAUCGAAUUGAAAUGAAAUAGAAAGGAUCUUUUUUACCAAAGGAUUUUUGCACAAAGAGAUUCCGAUGGACACGCGUUUCUCUUUACUUCUUUCCGUUUGAUUACGCGUUCAUCGGACUGAAUUACUUGAGCGAGAAUUUCGACUGAUAUAAGAUGAAAUUUAAUCCUUACGCGUAUAAUAAAAUAGACUAAAGAACGCGUGUUUUUAGCAAGAAAAGAGGGAAUGAGCAUUUAAGUAAACCCCGUGUUUCGAUACAAUGGUACUAUCUUAAUAUAAUAUUUUUCUUUUGAUAAAGUGAAAUCAUCGAUGAAGUUCAUUGGCUAAGGAUUAAAUUUCAAAUGGUUCUCGCCAAAGUUUCUGAUGCUUCCAGUAAUUACGGAACGAUCCCAAACAAAAUACUGUCAAAUCUACAAGAACGUUCUCUGCUAAAGGACAAACUCUACGUGUAAAAGCUAAAUGUAAUAUCAUCGGACGUUCCGCGAAAAGGACUGCACAAAAUCAUACGUGAUAAUGAUUUACGAACGUAUAUAGGAUAUAUGUAUAGCGAGUAAUAUCACCAGAGAGGAGCUAUUAAAAAAAGAAAGAAAGAAAGAGACGAGAAGGAAUUCCAAAAAUUAACACGUUUCACACCCAACGGUGAACGCGAGAAUCGUGAUAGGUCGAUUAUUGAUGGGACGAUUUACGAUAAAAAAAAAAGUAUAGCGAUUAUUUAUUAUUAAAAAAAUGUUUAGGGUGGGAUGGAGGGGUUGAGGGAGAUCAGUGAGUAUAGAUAAAGUAAGACUGAUUUGUGGAAGGAUUGCUUGGCUCGAAUAUCGUUUUUCGAUCGAUCGGUAGGCUAUGAACAUUGACGUGGCGAUGUUUAAACUAAUAAUGCUUAGUUUAAACUAGAUAUAAAUUAUAUAAUUAAAAAUAGAAAAGAUCUUCUGUCAUCGUUUCAUUUCCGAAUACAGUGUUUUAGAAAAUUCAAAUCGCGUCUGAUCGGACGCGAUACGCGCUACUAUCGAUCGAAUUAAAUGUCAAAUAAGAUAUACCUAUACUUGGAAAUCGAAACUCGAUACUGUUUAUACUAGCGUUGAUCGAACGACCUUCGAGACAAGUCGACGAAUAGAAAAACUUCUAAGAAGUGAAAAGAUUUUUGCUAAAAACUUCGCUCCAUGUCUGAUCUUGCACGGACUUACACUACUUUUUGAUCGGGUGGUCCUCGAUCGAAUUACCGAGCGAAUAGGAAACAGAAAAUUUUCUAGGGAAAGAUGAAAAGAAAUAAUAAGAAAGAGAAGUCUCUUUUUUCGCGGAGAUGCUACUUUCUCUGCUAGGAAGUUUGGCCUGCGUCUGAUCACGCACGGACUAGAACUACUGUCGGUCGUGCACAGGCCUAACGUUCACGCAUCGACCAAGCAUCGGAACACCGAGCUUCUUCCUCUUUCUAAUUACCUCGUUAAUUGCUAGACACUCGAUUAUCCACUUCGGUGAUUCUACGUUGGCGAGCGAGUUACUUUCGUUUCACGUCAGAAAAUCGAAUUAACAUUUAUAUAUAUCGUUGAUCAUUUCGAUCGCGAAUGACACGAACAUUGUUCAUUGUUAAAUCACGAUUGGUGCUUUGAUCGCAGCAUAUCGAGACUAGAAUCAAGAAGACAAUUGGGGAAAAUAUAGAGAUCAGAAGGUUUCUUUUCGAGCUUUUACGUGGGUGACAGUCGUGGAGGAUAUUUUCUUUCUAUCUUUGUAACAAAGAGCAUCUUUGAUCAUCAUCGGGAUCCUGACGAAAUUAUUUCUCAAAGAAUUAAUUUCACAGGGUGCCGUCACCGCGAAGGAUACCGUGUAAUCACUGUUAACCGUCGAUCCAUCGUACGUCGAUACAUCGAUAUGUUUCCAAAUUCAAUCGAUCUAUCGAUCCAACGAUCGAUCGAUCCUGUUAGAAACGUUGCGCCAACAGAUCACUUAACCUCUUAAAGAGUAGAAUCUUCAAUCGACUAGCGCUCUCGAAUCAAAUUAAAUCGAUAAUUUGUUUGUCGAGCAUUUCGCGAAAUAUACUUUCUUCGUAUAACUUUCUGAUGGGGCCGAGCAUCGUUUUAUUUACAAUUUGUCUAGGUACGAAACGCGAAGGAAUCUAAACCUAUAUACGUAUAAUCUGUAUUUAAUUAUCGUCAUUUAUCAUAUUACUGUGUACUUAUCGCAUGAUUAUUACUUACACGUAUUAUUUAUACAACUACAGGUAGGAAUUCCCAUUGAAGUAUUAUGUGGAGGUUAGAUAUAUCUAUAUAUACAUUACAUUACAUUAUAUUAUAUUAUAUUAUAUUAUAUUAUAUUACAUUAUAUUAUAUUGUAUUUACAUUAUAUUAUAUUAUACACGUAUAUUUCUCACAUGGAAAUUUUUCAAGCAUCUGAAUAACACCGCAACGGCUAUUGUUGUGCAAUAAGUAUAUAUGGGCGUGCUUUUUAAGAGGUUAAUCGGGAUACCGAUUUAAUAUGUAGUACAGAGCAAAAAGCUUCCUCUCUACACAACACAUAUACGCAUACACAAACACAUAAUACACGUUCAUAUGCAUACGCAAGUCCGUCUUAAUAGGUUCAAGUAAAACCUCGAAUUACAGUUAAAAUUAGCGUAAUAUUAUAAUAAUUUUCGUGACAUUGUACUGUUAUAAUUGUGUACAUUCAUUUAAAUAUUCAUACAUGUUUAAAAGUCGAUGUUACGUAAGUAGUUUGAUCUAUGUACUUUUUCUAUUUACUUAUGUGUUGUAACUAUGUACCAUAUUGAUAGUUUCAUUGCGUAUGUGUAAUCAUAAUUUAUCAAAUAGCAAAUUCGAGGUUUAUUCGAUCUAAAAUGUAACCGGCCAAGCGGAGCAAAUUAGAACACACUUUCUUCAUCGCAGAACACACGUAUACGCAUUUUGCAUGCAGGUUAUCCUCAUAACGGAACAGAAUUCAUUUCUCGAGGAAACAACGACGGGAUGUUCGUUCCUGAUGGGUUCCGUCGAGCAUUCUUCGUCGUCGCCUCAACGUCACUUUAGGGCAACGAACUAGAAAUGUGUUGAAUAUUUACACGAAUUUACAAGAUUCUUGCUAAUGUACUUUUUCUAUAUCAUACACGAGACAAAUUACAGUGCACACAUAGGUGCAUACCAUAUACACAUGAACAACACGAGGCAUACACAUCUCAACGUACUCUUGUAUCUUUAACAUCUAACAAAAUAGAGGAACGGAAAGAUUAUACAUUGGACGUACUACAACUCCGCGUACAAUCAUAGCACACAAAUACAUGAUUACAUGCACCCACACGUACAAGAAAAAGAGACCAUUCACGCACACUGUGGCACAGAACAAAGACACAAAGAUGACUUAAAAAAUAAAACAGACAAAAACAUUUUCGAGAACACGUGCGCGCCAUCACAAUUGUUGAUAUAAAUUGCGAUCCAUGAUUAUUACUAUUUACGAUAUAAUUAUUAUCUUGCAUUGUCUAGUCAUACGUUAUUAUUGUAUAACUAACGAUAUUAAUUAUUAAUUAACCUGUACUACCUAGUCGCAUUAUGUGUUGCAUAAAAAAAAACUAUGAAAAUUCCGAAGGCGAAAUAAGAAAGAGCGAGAGUGAGAGAGACCGAGAGAAUGCGAGUAUGAAAGUAAGAAAUGUACCUAAACGAGAGCACGAGGAAAGAAAAAGAGAGAGUGAGGGUGAAUGAUAUAGACACACGAGAUGGUAAUGAUAAUAACGAAAUUUCGGUGAGAAAGAAACGGAGAGAAUGAGACGAAGGUACUUCGUUGCAGCCGUGAUAACGCUCGUUGAUCGAGAUUAAGAUCAAGAUUUGGCUAAUUGUGAUGAUAAUCUCGGACGAAGUUAUUUAUUUUGAGAUUAAAGAGGAAGUUAGUAAAAUAAAAACCAAGGGUGCUCUGAAAUAUUUCAUGUUGAAUGCGAAUGUUCUUAACCAUAAUUCGUCGAUGGCGGCUAAGAAACGAUCAGUUGUUUCCCAGAAAGUAAAUUUUGAGAGCUACAUAUAGUUAAACACUUCGCGGACGAGCGACCCCUAAAUAUUGAAUGUAUGACUGUAAAAAUACAAGAUUCGCGUUAUCUUGAGAAAUCUAGAAAACAGUCACCGAAGUGUUACGUCAUAUCCGCCCAAAAAACCCGUCAAUCCAAUCAGAAAGUAAUAUCGUCUUACAAGUUGGAAAAUUUGAGAAGUAAGUACUUUAAGAUACUUUCUGAACUCGUCGUUUCUUCGAUGGACGAAUUAGAUGGAAAAUCGAUCAAAUUGGGUGAUCAUGGCUGCCGAAGGUCGCCUGCUUAGUUAAGGAAUAGAAAGUGAAGAUGAUAGCGAUGAUGAUAAUGAUGAUGGUAAUGAUGAUGAUAAAAAAAAAAGAG